UCCAGUUUCCACUGCCUUUCGGGGGUUGAGCCCCGGUCUUUGACAGCAGACUGAGUAGCCACCUGCGGACGCUUUACGCCCAAUAAUUCCGGAUAACGCUUGCCUCCUCCGUAUUACCGCGGCUGCUGGCACGGAGUUAGCCGAGGCUUAUUCCUCAGGUACCGUCAGUUUUCUUCCCUGAGAAAAGAGGUUUACAACCCAAGAGCCUUCCUCCCCUCACGCGGUCUUGCUCCGUCAGGCUUUCGCCCAUUGCGGAAAAUUCCCCCACUGCUGCCUCCCGUAGGAGUCUGGGCCGUGUCUCAGUCCCAGUGUGGCUGCUCGUCCUCUCAGACCAGCUACUGAUCGUUGCCUUGGUGAGCUCUUACCUCACCAACUAGCUAAUCAGACGCGAGCUCCUCUAGAGGCGAUAAAUCCUUUCACCUCUCGGCACAUCCGGUAUUAGCCACCGUUUCCAGUGGUUGUCCCCGUCCUCUAGGCAGAUUCUCACGCGUUACUCACCCGUCCGCCACUAGCUCCGAAGAGCCCGUUCGACUUG
rnacentral:rRNA from 1 species